CGGAAGCGGAUGAGGGAAGCUCGGCUGCGGCCCGGGGGGGGCGGUGCAGAGCUGCAGGAGCCUCGGCCUCCUCCUCGGUCCCUGCGAGGCUCUCAUGCGACGCCCUCGCUGACACCUGAAAUCCACUGCUCGCCUCCUCCUGGGGGUCACGGGGUUGCUCGGCUUGCCGCCCUCGGCGGUUGCAGUCAUCGUCUUGCGGGCCUGCGGCGGUCGCCCAUGGAGAAAAACGGGCGCGGCGGCGAUAGCGCCCCCCGUGGGCCCGUAUUGCACAUCGCGGUGGUCGGCUUUCAUCACAAGAAGGGCUGCCAGGUUGAAUUCUCUUACCCGCCCCUGAUUCCAGGAGAUGGACAUGACAGUCACACUUUACCUGAAGAAUGGAAGUAUUUGCCCUUCCUUGCCUUACCAGAUGGCGCACACAACUACCAAGAAGAUACUGUGUUUUUUCACUUGCCACCCAGAAAUGGAAAUGGAGCCACUGUAUAUGGUAUCUCUUGCUAUCGACAAAUUGAAGCCAAGGCAUUGAAGGUACGGCAAGCAGAUAUCACCAGAGAGACCGUUCAGAAAAGUGUCUGUGUUCUAAGCAAGCUGCCUCUCUAUGGCUUACUUCAAGCAAAACUUCAACUCAUUACGCAUGCAUAUUUUGAAGAGAAGGAUUUUUCCCAAAUUUCCAUUCUAAAGGAGCUCUAUGAACAUAUGAAUAGUUCCCUGGGAGGAACUUCAUUAGAAGGAUCCCAGGUAUAUCUUGGUUUAUCUCCUCGAGAUCUUGUGCUUCAUUUUCGACACAAGGUCCUAAUCCUGUUUAAACUAAUUCUUCUUGAAAAGAAGGUUCUCUUUUAUAUUUCUCCAGUGAAUAAAUUGGUGGGUGCCCUGAUGACAGUGUUAUCCCUUUUUCCAGGCAUGAUUGAACAUGGUCUCAGUGAUAGUUCUCAAUAUAGACCCCGAAAGAGUAUGUCUGAAGAUGUUGGGCUUCAAGAAAGUAAUCCCACUGAAGAUGAGUUUGUUUCUAUGCCUGCUCCUGACAUUUCAAAUACCAACUUGGAAACUGUUGAGAAAAUCAUGAUGAGAAACCAUGGAAGAGAUGCUGCCAUGAAGACUGAAGAGCCUUUUUUCCAGGUAGAUGAUGACAGCAGUGAAGGACAGGAACCCAAUGACAGCAAUCAAUAUUUGAAACCUCCUUCUCGCCCAUCUCCAGAGUCUUCAGAAAGUGACUGGGAGACCUUGGAUCCUAGUGUCUUAGAGGACUCCUCCUUGAAAGAAAGAGAACAGGUGGGAUCAGAACAGACAAACUCAUUUCUAAAGGACUCUUUGCCCUCAGACAGUCCUCCGAUUACUGUACAACCUCAAGCUAACACAGGCCAGGUAGUCCUGAUACCAGGGAUAAUUUCUGGUUUGGAAGAGGACCAGUAUGGCAUGCCCCUGGCCAUCUUCACAAAGGGAUAUCUGUGUUUGCCUUAUAUGGCAUUGCAGCAGCACCAUCUUCUCUCUGAUGUCACCAUUCGAGGAUUUGUUGCUGGAGCUACUAACAUCCUUUUUCGACAACAGAAACACCUCAGUGAUGCCAUUGUGGAAGUAGAAGAAGCUCUGAUCCAGAUCCAUGAUCCAGAACUCAGGAAGCUGCUUAACCCAACCACUGCAGACCUAAGGUUCGCAGAUUACCUAGUGAGGCAUGUGACCGAGAACCGAGAUGAUGUCUUCCUGGAUGGCACGGGCUGGGAGGGAGGUGACGAAUGGAUUCGAGCCCAGUUUGCAGUCUACAUCCAUGCACUGCUGGCCGCCACGCUGCAGUUAGAUAAUGAAAAGAUCUUAUCAGACUAUGGGACGACCUUUGUUACAGCAUGGAAGAACACUCACAACUACAGGGUCUGGAACAGCAACAAGCAUCCAGCACUUGCAGAAAUAAAUCCAAACCAUCCUUUCCAAGGCCAGUAUUCAGUGUCAGACAUGAAGUUAAGAUUCUCACAUUCUGUUCAAAACAGUGAACGUGGCAAAAAACUUGGAAACGUCAUGGUCACAACGAGUCGGAAUGUUGUGCAAACAGGAAAAGCUGUUGGCCAGUCAGUUGGAGGAGCUUUUUCCAGUGCAAAGACAGCCAUGUCUUCAUGGCUUUCUACUUUCACCAGUUCCACUCCACAGAGUCUCACUGAGCUGCCUGACGGGAAACCCUGAGCGGAGCAAGCCACCCAGAAGCUGCUGUCGCUUUCUUAGGUUUAAGCAUCCCCUGUCUGUCUGCUGCUCCCAGACUGUUCCUCUUCAUCGACCACAGGUCCACAGCAGGGACCAAUAGGUCGAACUGUUUACAGGGACGGUUGCCCUCUGUGUAAAUGAAUGUCACGGGAUGCUGAAAAGACGAAACCACAAGCGUAGCAGGGACGGCUUCCCAGGAAAAAUGAGAAUAAAAUUAUCCUGUUUCUCCUGCAUACAGUGGACUUGGCCUGUUUUUCUAGAAGUACCCUUCAUGUUGUCAGUGUGGUUUCUGGCCUGCUUCACAGUUGGAGAGAAGGGCCAGCUUCGUUUAUUAGGAAACCAGCGGAACUAAAGGACUCAUUGCUCGUUUUUUUUUUUUUACUCUCUCAUUUUGAAAAUACUUGUGGUGCUUCAGUUUGUGAGGUGGUGACCCUCGCAGCAAGAAUGUUUAGUGCCUGGGGCUGCACAAAGUACCACCAAACGGAGUUUGGUCGUGCAGUAACAUCUUGUCACAUGCUCACGGACAGAAAUCCCCAGGGGACUAGGAUAUUGCCCCAAGCAACCCAUUUUUCCAUCCGUACUGGUGAGCUUCAGAAUAACCUUGACAUUUCCACUGAGGACUCCUAGCACAUUUUCACAUAUGUAUUUCCAUGUACCAUGGUUUCCUUAUAGCUGUUUUGCAAAACAGCUUCACAGAAGAAGGAGACAAAUUUCUUUGUUCCCAGGAAUGUGCGCUGCCUUGAGUACAGGGUUAAAUUUAAGGUACCAGUGUUCUUACAACGUGGACUGUUGCUGCCUGGAGCUGACAAGGUGACUCGGGCAGUAGAGCUCGACACCGCCAACAUCUCCCUUUUCCGAGGACCUGUUCCAGCUGCACUUCAGGCUCUGCCGUGGUGAGGGGAUGGUCCCCCAUUGUCUCCCAGGUCAGAGCUGCCUUCUCUUCAUUCUGAUAGAAUGGGAGUUGCAAUGAUCAAACCUGGCAACAUCUGGAAAGAGCAGGAUUAUAGAGGCAGUUUCUUCCAAGGAACCACACUUUGUGAAGGGCUCAUCUCCUCCUGUGGUAAUCACAGGCUUAGGGAACCGCUCUGCAGCAGGACUGAUCUGUCCAAGUUCACAAUCGACAAAUCCCCAGCGGAGCUUCCAGUCGCGUGACCGACAGCCAACUCCAGUCGAGGCAGCUAAGGUCUAGUCAUCCAGCGCAGGUCCUGUGCAAAACUUUGCCUCAGCAUGAGUUUUUGAAGACAGAGGAGGGAACCCAAUUUUUUUUUACUUUGAAGGGCUGAUGUUCUCCAAGUCUAGCAAUCACAUAAAUGUCCGGUGUGUCCGGAACUGUCCUGGGCAGCCACAAGCCCUAAGGACUUUUAGCACCGAAGCAGAGACUCACACUGGCCUCCAGAGAUCCAAGAUGUGCACAUCUUUGGCUACUUGCCCUGGGAAGUCACUUUCAGAACUAACCCAUGUCCCUCACACUGCAUUUUAAACCCUACCUUCUUCCCAUCAAGUAUUUGAGUGCCUACUGUGUACACACACAGUACAUGCCACCCACAUAGCAGGGGGAGAAUGGAUGGUUACCAUAGUGGGUAAAGAGGCUGGGUCAAAGGUCAGCCCAGUGUGUUUGAGCAGGUGGCCAGCUCCUUUUUGGCAGGGGUGAGUAGAUGUUUCUUCCCCUGAAGGCUAAGUGAUAGUUUUAGGAGUGAGGUGGGUUUAGAUACAAAGGGCUCCAGGACCUAGGAGAACAACAUAGGCAAAGACUGGGAAGCAGUGAAUGUUCUUUGGUGUGACUGGAACCUAAAUGGCAAGGGGGGAUGGGCAAGAGAUGAGGCUGUAAGAUAAGGCCAGGUUUGGAAAAAGAGAUACCUGUCAGCCUGGCAGAGGGGGGGUGGACUUGAUCUAAAAGGGCAGGGGAGAACCUUAAAGGGCUCUCCAAGGGCAAGUGGCAGGUUGGGUGCUGCAUUUGAGAAAGUUCAUUCUGGGUUGGGCACCACUGCAUUUGCAUGGCCAUUAGCUCUAGUGAUGUCUCUCUGAACUCAGCCAUCACCGCCUUCCUUUUCCUCAAGGGCCCAAUCUCUUAGCUUUGUACCAACUUUAAAUCCCAUUUGCCCCAAACAAUGGGCCCCAGAACAAAACUCCUAUGGACCCAGCCCUCAGUCAAAAACCAGUCACCCUGAUGUCACCCUAAGAACUGUUUUCCUUUGAUUUCUCCAGCCGUUAGACUAGCGGGGGUGGGGGGGUGGGGGCUUGUGAACGAGGAGCGGCUCUAAAGUGAUUGUGGGCGGUGCCGGGAGAGCCCGGAGGACACUUAAGCAUCUGCUGAGGUUACUCUUUUUGGCAAAGGGGAGACCCAAGAGACCCGUGCCGCCACCACCAUGUUGAUAAACCUGGGCGAAACUCACUGUUUCUUCCUAAAGUUUACAAGCAGGAAGGGAAUGCUUCGUAUGUUCUAAAAGUCCAUCUGCAGUUAACAUCCGGACUUUCAUUUAUAUUCGAUCUAAUCCAUGGAAUUUUUAUUCUGAUCAGCGUUACCAGAUGAGCCAUGUGCACUGAGGAAUGAUUAGCCCAAAGUAGGACAGAAGAGAAUCUGAAAAGUAGCCUUUCCACCUGCCCCCUGGCUCUGCCCUAGAAAACAGUCAGUCAGCAGCACUUCCUAGAAACCACGGAGACAGAAGUUACGCUGCACCGUCUUCAGCUGCAGGAAUCCUGAAUUGGUUCUUUGUACAAGAUCAUCCAUGAAACGCCAAAGCCUCAGUGCCCUCGAUAGAUCAUUCACUCCCACUAAAUGCCUUAGAAAUGGAAAUUCCAGAGGAACUUGACCACCUGCUAUAUAGAUGUCAUUAUCGGGAGUUACAACGGUUCCAACCUUAUGUAAAUCAGCUGGUGGGCUGCAUAGCUUGUAAACUUUUUCUGCUUGGGGGCUGUAACAGACAGAAGA